AGUCCGACAAGCGAGCUGCGAACAACGCUCCAUUCCCCAGCAGCCCAACCAACACCAACCAACCCCAUCAGAAGAAUUCUAACAAUAAGUAAAAACAAAAAAACAAAAAGAAACCCAAACCAAACAAUUCCUCAUUUGUUUGCUAUCAAUUGGACACGCAAAUGACAUCAACAGGGGAAUUGAAUUUGCCAAAAUUGGCCAAAUAAUAACAAUACAAAAAAAUAAUUGAGGAAUAAUUAAUUAACCAAUAAUAACAUGAGAAGUGCCUGUCAAAUAUGCAUGUACAAAAAAAAUCAAUUAAGAAUAUUUUUAAACUAAAAAUGUUUGUACCUCGACUUGUUCAAGUCCUGUUCGGAAAUCAACGUAAUUAGAAGUGCAUUUAUAUGUGUUUUUGCGGAAGAAAAUACAAAUGUAAAUUAAUUUCACAAAAAAAAAUUCCAACAAUGUUGCCUUACGUGCCGUGACCCAAAACAUGUGAGUUCUGCUUAUAUAAAACAAGAGAAACAACAAUAACAAAGAUACGAAAUACUUGCACACAAAAAAGGUAAAUGUCAGUGAAAAUGAAAUGGAAAAGCUAAAAAUUGCAUCAUCAAAGUGGAAUGGAAUGGAGGGUAAUUACUUUGCAUCUGCUGAUCAACGUGCGGGGCACUGCGUCAGCAUGGAAAUUUAAUUAGCGACAGUUCAGUGCAGCUGAGCGGAGACAGAGGCUGAUCCGAACUCAACCAAACCAAACCAGCGGCCAGGCUCAAUCACCAUUCCCGCAUGCGGGACGCGCCAACAAUUUUGUUGAUUUUUGCAUGACGACAGCAAAAAGCAAGCGACGGUAAAACAAUCGAAGUGCACCACACUGCAGCGUGCGAAAGAGAGAGAGAGAGAGAGAGAGAGAAAGAAAGAGAGAGCAAGUGGACAAACAAAUAUGGCGCAGACAUGCGCACUCUCUGAGAAACUUGAACUUGAAAACCGGCAAACCAAGAGAGUGAGAGAGCAAAACAGCGAACACAGCAAGAGCUUUCGACCGAAACCCAAAGAACACGCAACGUAGCAUAAAAAGCAGCAUAGAGGGAAAUCCCCCGAAACGACAACCAACCCCCAUGCCCACCACCGUUCAACGCAAGCAGCUACCCAACACCAGCCAAAAGAUGGCGUACCGAAAAGCUUCGCACCGAACCGCACCGCACCGCAGCGGGUGAGAGGAAAGAGUUUUUCGGUGUUUAUCAGUGUGUUCAUGUAAAUGUUUUUUAUAUACCCUACCCCCCCCUGUUCAGUUUGAAUGCUCUACCGAAUUAAUCCACCAACAAUUCCAAAUGAACGAAAUUUGAAAAUCAGUUUUACCCAAAAAUCAAAUCCAGAAAAUUCAAUUGGCUAUGCGCUUUGGCAGUGUGGUUAGCUGGUUGUGUAGCCAAAAUAUUGCCUUUGACCAUUCACAGCCACUAUCUUCACUGCCGCCGCGACAAGCCAUUACAACGUUAAGCAGCAUAAUCGCGUAUUUUUCUGGAAGCCAACGGACUCAAACAAAAACCAAAUGCUGUAUGGCGGCGAAUUCAACGAUGUAACAGUAACAUAGCAUUAGAGAUGGGAGCGGUACGAAACCCAGGGCCAGGAAUUGUUUAUGGUCUUACACAA